rnacentral:rRNA from 1 species
CCUACGGGUGGCAGCAGUGAGGAAUAUUGGUCAAUGGGCGCGAGCCUGAACCAGCCAAGCAGCGUGAAGGAUGACUGCCCUAUGGGUUGUAAACUUCUUUUAUAAAGGAAUAAAGUGAGGCACGCGUGCCUUUCUGUAUGUACUUUACGAAUAAGGAUCGGCUAACUCUGUGCCAGCAGCCGCGGUAAUACGGAGGAUUCGAGCGUUAUCCGGAUUCAUUGGGUGUAAAGGGAGCGUAGAUGGGUUGUUAAGUCAGUUGUGAAAGGUUGCGGCUCAACCGUAAAAUUGCAAUUGAUACUGGCAGUCUUGAGUACAGGUGGGGUAGGCGGAAUUCGUGGUGUAGCAGUGAAAUGCUUAGAUAUCGCGAAGAACACCGAUGGCGAAGGCAGCUUACUAGACUGCCACUGACGUUGAGGCUCGAAGGUGAGGGUAGCAAACAGGAUUAGAUACCCGUGUAGUC